UAGGGAAUCUUCCGCAAUGGACGAAAGUCUGACGGAGCAACGCCGCGUGAGUGAAGAAGGAUUUCGGUUCGUAAAACUCUGUUGUUAGGGAAGAAAAAAUGUAUAGUAAGUAUAUACAAAAGAGACGGUACCUAACCAGAAAGCCACGGCUAACUACGUGCCAGCAGCCGCGGUAAUACGUAGGUGGCAAGCGUUGUCCGGAAUUAUUGGGCGUAAAGCGCGCGCAGGUGGUUUAGAAAGUCUGAUGUGAAAGCCCACGGCUCAACCGUGGAGGGUCAUUGGAAACUAAUAAACUUGAGUGCAGGAGAGAAAAGUGGAAUUCCUAGUGUAGCGGUGAAAUGCGUAGAGAUUAGGAGGAACACCGGUGGCGAAAGCGGCUUUUUGGCCUGCAACUGACACUGAGGCGCGAAAGCGUGGGGAGCAAACAGG
rnacentral:rRNA from 1 species